rnacentral:rRNA from 1 species
UGCCAGCCGCCGCGGUAAUACGUAGGGUGCAAGCGUUGUUCGGAAUUAUUGGGCGUAAAGCGAGUGUAGGCGGUUAGGUAAGUCAAGUGUGAAAUCCCGAGGCCCAACCUCGGAACUGCACUCGAUACUGCUUGACUAGAGUCCCGGGGAGGGUGGCGGAAUUCCCGGUGUAGGGGUGAAAUCCGUAGAUAUCGGGAGGAACACCAGUGGCGAAGGCGGCCACCUGGACGGUGACUGACGCUGAGACUCGAAAGCGUGGGGAGCGAACAGGAUUAGAUA